rnacentral:rRNA from 1 species
ACGAACGCUGGCGGCGUGCUUAACACAUGCCAGUCGCACGGAAAGGCCCUUCGGGGUACUCGAGUGGCGAACGGGUGAGUAACACGUGGGUGAUCUGCCCUGCACUUUGGGAUAAGCCUGGGAAACUGGGUCUAAUACCGGAUAGGACCACGGCAUUCAUGUGCUGUGGUGGAAAGCUUUUGCGGUGUGGGAUGGGCCCGCGGCCUAUCAGCUUGUUGGUGGGGUAAUGGCCUACCAAGGCGACGACGGGUAGCCGGCCUGAGAGGGUGACCGGCCACACUGGGACUGAGAUACGGCCCAGACUCCUACGGGAGGCAGCAGUGGGGAAUAUUGCACAAUGGGCGCAAGCCUGAUGCAGCGACGCCGCGUGAGGGAUGACGGCCUUCGGGUUGUAAACCUCUUUCGCCAGGGACGAAGCGCAAGUGACGGUACCUGGAGAAGAAGGACCGGCCAACUACGUG